CUGGUUGAUCCUGCCAGUAGUCAUAUGCUUGUCUAAAAGAUUAAGCCAUGCAUGUCUAAGUAUAAACUGUUUUAUACAGGUGAAACUGCGAAUGGCUCACUAAAACAGUUAUUAUUUAUUUGAUGGUACCCAAUUACUACUCGGAUAACCGUGGUAAUUCUGGAGCUAAUACAUGCGUUGAAAGUCCUGACUUUUGUGGAAGGGCGGCAUUUAUUAGAUACAAAACCAUCUCGCGCUACUGCGUGAUUUUUUGGUGAUUCAUGGUAACUGAGCGAAUCGCAUAGCCUUGUGCUGGCGAUGGUUCAUUCAAGUUUCUGACCUAUCAGCUUUCGACGGUAGGGUAUUGGCCUACCGUGGCUAUGACGGGUAACGGGGAAUUAGGGUUCGAUUCCGGAGAGGGAGCCUGAGAAACGGCUACCACAUCCAAGG
rnacentral:rRNA from 1 species